UACGUAGGAUGCUAGCGUUGUCCGGAUUUACUGGGCGUAAAGCGCGCGCAGGCGGCACUGUAAGUAAGGUGUGAAAUCUCCCUGCUCAACGGGGAGGGUGCACUUUAGACUGCAGAGCUAGAGGACGGUAGAGGGGGGUGGAAUUGCUGGUGUAGCGGUGAAAUGCGUAGAGAUCAGCAGGAACACCCGUGGCGAAGGCGGCCCCCUGGGCCGAACCUGACGCUGAGGCGCGAAGGCUAGGGGAGCGAACGGGG
rnacentral:rRNA from 1 species